CCUACGGGAGGCAGCAGUGGGGAAUAUUGGACAAUGGAGGAGACUCUGAUCCAGCAAUUCUGUGUGCACGAAGACGGUUUUCGGAUUGUAAAGUGCUUUCAGCAGGGAAGAAGAAAGUGACGGUACCUGCAGAAGAAGCGACGGCUAAAUACGUGCCAGCAGCCGCGGUAAUACGUAUGUCGCGAGCGUUAUCCGGAAUUAUUGGGCAUAAAGGGCAUCUAGGCGGAUAUACAAGUCAGGGGUGAAAACUUAGGGCUCAACUCAAAGCUUGCCUUUGAAACUGUAUAUCUAGAGUGCUGGAGAGGUGGACGGAACUACACGAGUAGAGGUGAAAUUCGUAGAUAUGUGUAGGAAUGCCGAUGAUGAAGAUAGUCCACUGGACAGCAACUGACGCUGAAGUGCGAAAGCUAGGGGAGCAAACAGGAUUAGAUACCCGAGUAGUC
rnacentral:rRNA from 1 species